rnacentral:rRNA from 1 species
UACGGGGGGGGCAAGCGUUGUUCGGAAUUACUGGGCGUAAAGGGCUCGUAGGCGGCCAACUAAGUCAGGCGUGAAAUCCCUCGGCUUAACCGGGGAACUGCGUCUGAUACUGGGUGGCUUGAAUCCGGGAGAGGGAUGUGGAAUUCCAGGUGUAGCGGUGAAAUGCGUAGAUAUCUGGAGGAACACCGGUGGCGAAGGCGACAUCCUGGACCGGUAUUGACACUGAGGCGCGAAAGCCAGGGGAGCAAACGGG